UGGGGCGGGGCUCGGGGCACGUGGGCUAGCCAGCCGUAAGGGGAGCACGAGCUGCUGGGCCGCAGCGGAUGGCCAACGUGGGGACAAGCUUCCGGGAAAAUCCAGGCAUUCACACUCCUCCAGAGCCUGGUCACCAUGCUCAGUUCCACCAAAACCACAGUAUAUAGUCACUGUGCCUGUGCCUCUGAUGCCUGAGUGACAGAGCACUCUGACAUGCCCUGUUCCCAGAGUACAACUCCAAGCCUCACAUGAGCCUUUGCAGUAAGCCAUCCAGGCACAGAGGACAAGGGUCACUCACCACUGCCCUCUGCCCAUGCCCUAGACCACAGCUCAUGGAAAACGUUCAGAAUCCGAUCUCGAGAUUUUUGAGCCGAUCUUCUCAUGAGGACUUUGCUGAGGAACUUCCUAUCAAAAUUGGACCACCUGGGGGACAAAAGAUUGCAUCAGCACUGGGAGUCUGGGGCUGCUUGCCCCACAUGGACAAGAACAAGAGGCUGGCAGUGGAACUAAAUGCCAUUUUCGAGUGACACAAUGAUCAGGUUUCCAAGUGGCCACCUCACCCUCCAAGUGCUAUGAGGACAGGACCAAGAUUAAGACAACAGCAGCUAUAGUUCCAACUCCUGACACAUCACUGUCUAGGGUGCAUUACUCAACUUAACUCUGCAGCCUCACAUGGACUCUAGGGAGACCUGGGUUGACUGUCCAUAUCCCUUCUCAGGAGAACACACAGGAUCCCCCAGGACCUUCAUCCAGUAGUGUUUAUGUGGUGUUCUGGGAAAGGAACCCAGCCUGAUGUGUUCAAGGAACAUUGAGGCAGAUGUGCAGACUGUUUAAGCACAACCGUGAUGGGCACUGAGUCUCAGCAAGCCCUCUGUGGAGCUGUGCUUGUUUAUAAGGAUGAAGCCACCCACAGCUGAUGGUGGAUGAGAGCAAUGUUGAUGAUGAGAAGGUCCUUCUGGAGAUGAGUUGUUCCCACCCACAGCUGGCACACAUAGACAGAGCCAAGGCCAAGAGCUGGAUAGAGCUCAGCCAUACCAAGCCAGGUCUCUACCUUUUGGAAUUUCCAUGUUCACACAAGGGUGACAAAGUUUGUGCACUGGAUGACAGAACCUCCCACCCCAUGACAGAUUCCACAGGUGGAGGCUACAUAGCAACUGAGAGGAAGUGACCUAAGUUGGACAGAUGGACAUCCCUUGCCUCCCAGGGAGCUUCCUGAACUCCAGAGCAGGUGGCUGGCUCCAUGACCUUUGGUAGUUCUCCAUGAACUGGUGGAGUGGAGGUACUGGCAGUUCCUGCGAUGAGGCCAGAGGGCACCAAAUGCCCUAGAACUGAAGUUACAGGAGUUUUCAAGCUACCUGAUAUGGGUACUGGGAAUGGAAUUUGAGUCCUCUACAAGAGCAGUAAGUACUGUUAACCCCUAAGCCAUUUCUCUAGCCCCUCUCCUUUGUUUCUUUAUGGCCCUAGUCAUGAGGUUAGAGGUUUUGCUUGAUUGCAUAACAUGUUUCUGUCAAGAUUUGUUGCCACGGUUCAAGAGCAAUAGGCCAAGCAGGGUCUGGAACCUCCAGAGCCACGAACCUAAAUAAGUUAUUUAUCCUGGUAAGUAGUUCAUCUCAGGCUUUUGUUAUAGUGAUAGAAAGCUGACCAGAACAGCAGCAGAGGAUAUCUGAGACCCUGAGACAGAAAGAGCAAACACCCUGCUGCAUUUGCUGUCCCAGGGAUUGACAAUGGUCCAGAAUCUAUCAGAAUGUAUUCUACUGGGGUUGGGCUCAGUUGUGUAACUGCCAAAGCCAGAACUAAAGCAAGCUUCAUAGAAACAAGAGCCAGUAACAACAGGCAACAGGGAGAGGGUCUUCUUAGAGAACAAAUAAAAUAUUCUAGGAACAAGGAAACCAGAGAGGAUAGAGUUGGGUCCUGAUCCCCGGUGUCAGCUGAGGAUAUUCCACUGGGCAGGUAUAAUAGAGGGACAUCCAAGCCCACGAGUAACUUAUUGCUGAGGCUCAGAGUCACAGUUAAUUAAGCACAAAAUGGUACAGCCAUCUGAUGGUGACAACAGACAGCAAAUGCUUUAGUUAUAAUUACACUCUCUGACUGAAGUGAAAGGUCUAAGCAUUCAUAAACAGAUACUUUGGGACUAGGCACCAGGAAGAGCAGACACUUCUCAGGGUCUCCAGCUGACCCUGACCCCCUCACACUUUAGCAAUGCAGCUGGGGACAGGCCUUGGUCAGGCCCAGAGUCAGCCCCACUGCCAAGGAUCUUUCAAGGUGACAGGCAGAUUUAGCUGAGUCCUUGCAAAUGCAGCAGCACAGUAAAUCCCUUGGUUUUACUUUAACAGGUACAAGCCUUAGAGAAUUAAACUCUGCCUAACAGAGCAACUGGACCGAGCAGUGAAAAUCUGCCCGGAGGAAAGAAGGGGAAGCGCCUGACAUGGGCCCCCUCCUUGUGCAGCAGACCAGGUCAGGGUCAGACAUGAGCUUACACAUGCAUGUGCAGUUUCCUGUGCUCACGUGGGUACAUAGAGAAAAGCACAUAGAUGGCAUAAGCACACUCACACACUAGACAUAAGAUCCUCAAGUGAACCACGGAAAAGGGCCAGAGUCUACUGUAAAGCCAGCAAGUCAGACCAGCUGCCUCGCCUGCACACAGAAGACCCUGUUUUUCUGACCUCAAUAUUACUUCUGUUUUCAGCUGAGCCCACUGGGCACCUUGCAAGAAUUUCAGUAAGUAUGUCAGGUACAGCUCCAGGGCAGGAGGUAAAGAUAUUUAUAGUUCACCUGGAGUCUAGCCAAUUCCUCCUCCUGCCUGCAUCCCACUAGGCAAGUACCUGGAAGUUCACCCUGGUCAGGGUGGACCUGGUUUCUUCUGUUGUAGGCAGGGAGCCCCUCUAUGAGCCAGGCCUUCUUCAGGCCUGAUAAGUUUGGAGAACAACAUUCUAAAGUCUAGCCAUGCUGCUUACAAAUGGCAAGGUAUUUUCAGCACUGUUCAUUUACAAAACCUAGGGAAACACUGCUCAUUUCUAAAUUGGUAAAAUGUCGGUGGCUUUCCAGGAAAGCAGUGUCUCCUUCUGCUCUAAGCCAUGGCAAGCAACAGAAGCAAGGUUCUCCUGCAGCCCCACAGAUCUGUACUGAGAGAUGGCUCCAGAGCCCUUCAUGUGUUUGUAGGGUCUCCUUAUUGGCUACCAACUAUGGAAGUUAAUAUUUUGGCUUAUUUUAUAUCCUCAUUACCAUACAGCUCUAUUUUACAUCUACUCAAACUAAUAUUUUUGUGGAAAAUUGCUCAGAUAGGCUGAAGUACAGUUCCUUAAAGAACCACUGUGACCUGAACUAACUCAAAAUUCUGCUCCAAGCUGAAAACUUGGAGACUGCUUGCCUUUGGUGGCUUCUGAGGGUUACAACACAAGAUUGGAGUAGGGUAUUGACUCAAACAGAAUAUAAGGUAAAGUAGUUCAUCAGAGUCUAGUCAGAGUCAGGUGAAAGUAAGAGACCCAUGGCUAGUGCCUCAUCCUGUGCUCCUCUUGUUGCCCCAGGGUACUGCCUACCAACAUGGCAGGCAUCUACCACUUCGCAGUUGUUUCUAAUGGUACUGACCACAAAUGUGUGCCUUAACAGCGACAGGUAACUGCUUAUUAAGUGUACAGAGUGGGGACAGCUUGGGCCUGCGGUAUAGUCAGAAGCCAGCCAGGUAUCAGCCCUGCCCAUCCUCUCCAAAGUGUCUCCCAAGAGCCACCAUACCCUCAGCCUGCUUUGAGGUCAUGCUACUCCUAUAAUCCACCACUUACAACAGAUGGUGAGUUUCCAGGCUUAGUGUAACACAAAUCUUACAAGGUCUUUUAGUGAAAAAAAAAAAAAAAAGCCAGAGCCAGAUAUUGGGGUGAAACCUGAAAGAUCAGAGAAGCAGAACAGCCAGCCACUAGCUUACCUCUAGUUACAAAACCCUCAGCCUCACAGCUUACUUUAUGAUCUCACAAUUGACUGUAACUUAAAACUUGAGAGAAAAGUUUUAAUAAUCACAUCUAAUGAUUGGUUGCUGGAGCAGCUUCUGUUGUUCCAAUUCACCCACAAAUAACAGUUACAAACGUUGAGAGAAACAUACAAACAACAGGCUGAAACUAGGGGGACAGUCAGACCUAAGGAAGGAACAGCCUGGAGGCUUCCAUGCCAUCCUGAAUCUUCCUAAGCACAGGUCCCAGCCACAGCUGAGCAACCAGAUGAGCCUACCAGAAACCUUCUGGCCACUGGCUAGAAAGCUAGGAGACAAAGAUCCAAGCAGCAAAUAAAAAGAGAGCAGCAAAGCUCAGUAAGGAAAGAGCCCGAUACAGGAACCUCAUAGUCACUGAAAAAUCCUAACCACCAGUCAGUUCCUGUAAUCUCCUGUGAAUCACACAGGAGUAUGGUGGGUCCCAUGCUGUCAACUAGAGCUAAAAAGCAGAAUAAAUAUCAGUCAGAAUAGGAACAGACAGUACUUGGAGUUUCAGUCCACAUAAAGGUCAGUUGCCUGGCAAGACCAUUGUGGUGACAUAUUGUGUACCCUAAUAAACUUGCCUGGGGAUCAGAGGACAGAGCCAGCCACUAGAUUAGACAUAGAGGUCAGGCAGUGAUGGCACACACUUUUAAUCCCAGCACUUGAGAUCUCAUGCCUUUGCUUAGGAAGCACACAUGCCUUGAAUCCCAGGAAGUAAUAUGGCAGGGCAGAGAAAGGUAUAGAAGGCGUGAGGAAACAGGAACUCACUCUCUUUAGGCUGAGGAUUUAGUAGAGGUAAGAACUAGCGGCUGGCUGUUCUGCUUCUCUGAUCUUUCAGCUUUCACCCUGAUAUCUGGCUCUGAGUUUUUUAUUGUAAGACCAUCUAAGAUUCGAACAACAGACCAUCACCUUAAAAAGCAGUUAUCUCCAGAGGGACAUAGUAGCACACAGUCUCUGCAGGGUAUAAGUCACAGUGUCUUGGACACAAUUAAAAAUUAUUAGACAUAUGAAGAAGUAGAAAAAUAGGACCAGCCAUAAAACAACUGAUGAGGACCUCACAGUGAUGCAGACACUGGAACUAUCAAAUAAGGACUUUAAAACAGCUUUAAAAACAGUAAAAAUAUUCGAAGAAAAUGUAAUUAUUUGAAAAAAAUCUGAGAAUUGGAGUAGGAUAUAGGUUAGCAAUUUUUCUUUGAAAGAGAAAUAUUAAUGUCACAAGAUUCAUGGGAUUCACAAAUGAUUAGCUCUGCAGAACACUGCUGUAUUGUAUGCAAACAAAAGGGCAAGGCUGUGAAGAUUUGUUCUAAUAAAAUUUUAUUUAAAUAAAUAGGUGACUGGUCCAUGGACCAUGGUUUCUUGACCCCUAGAAUAUGCUAUCAAAAAAAUUCAAAUGGAAAUUCUGGAGUUGAAGAAUGCAAUAUCUGAAAUAAAAGUGUAGACUAAUUUCACAGCAUAGAAAUGGAGCUAGAGUUUGCAAUUUGAAGGCAUGCCAGUCGAAAUGACACAACCUGAGGUAGAAGGAGAAAACAUGCUUUUGUUAAUUAGGAAGAUGCCAUGGUCUGCAGGACGGUAUCAAAAAGUCUAAUGCAUGUGUGUAGUAGGGCUCUAGAAUGAGGGGAAAAGCAAGCAAUGAGAGAAUUUUGAAAAAAAAAAUAGUAGUAGAAAAUGGCCCCAGCUUGGUAGGAGACAUGCUUAUGGAGUUGAGAAAUUCUGCCAACUUCAAACAGUGUAAAUUUUUAAAAGUUACACUCUAUAGGACCAUUAAAUUCAAAUAGUUAAAAACCAAAACUGAGAAAAUAGUAAAUACAAAUAACUGUUUCUUUUUGUUUUUAUCCCAUCAAAGGACAGGAAAAGAACAUAGGUCUGUUGUAAGUCUACCAACACUGUUACCUCUUUUGUCUCAGAGAUCAUCUGUCUUCAGGAUAGUUUUUACAGAGGCCUGGAGCCUGACUCUGACAUAUCAGAUGUCCUCAGGACCCCUCCUCAUUUCACUUUCCACUGCACUACACUUUUAGAACAUCAUGCUUUUGAAGCAGAUGCCAUGAAUGAUGUUCUAACUGAUCACAAACACUCAGCAAUUCUGUUUUUCCUUUGGUUUAUCAACAACCACAUAGUGCUGUGUUGAAGCUGCAGAUGAGCAGGACAAAGUCCCUCAUGCUACUUGUAGGAAGGUCAUUGCCAGCACAUCCUGUAGUGGCUGGACCUCAGACAUGGGCACCCUCCACACAAGGGGCACCCACAUCUCUAUGAUGUUGCAGAAAUAUUUUUUAUACUUCCUGUAAACAGUGGGCAUUUCAGGAGAAGUUGGGGGUGGCUGGGAUACUGACAGGCACACAGUGUCAUCUGAGGGCAGAGGCAGCACUCAAGAAGUACCUCCACUAUCUUGGUUUCUCCUUCAACACUUGAGCAAAUGGUUACCUGAGAGGACUUAAGGAGCUGGACACAUGUAGGAUGGACUGGGCUUUGGCUCGCUAAGGUAUCUAUGGUAGAGAAGUGGGGCUGUGCCUUCCUAUGUUGCUUCAAUGUGCUAGGCACCCAUCAAGGAGGUCCCUGCAAUGAGAGGUUCUGUGUAGCCUCCACAACUGUAAGCUCUGCCCUCAUUCCUAUCAUAUCUGGUCCUCCCUGAGCCCAUAGUCCUCCAGGAGAUCCUUGUUAUUUAUCAUGAUGGGCUGAGAUGGCACUGAAGGAAGCCUCUCGGGUGGGAACUGUGGACAAGCCCUGGCUUUCUGAAGCAGAUCCCUUGGGGACCUCAAGGACCUGAACUUCAAUCUUUACUGCUGACCAGGUUGCAUGUUUUAAAUGUAGAGACUGAAAGGCAAGUAGAAGAUACAACCAGCUCCUAGACAGCAAUGAGACAUGGCCAGAGUGACUUUUUUCCCUUGUCCCUGAAGCCCAGAGAAGAGCCCUUAGGUCCCUAGUCUUCUUUUCACAUAGACCUCCAAACCUGUCCUGUCUGUGCCUACCAGGACCUCACAAACUAUGAGUUAUCUGGCCAUCAGCUCCCUAAGGGCAGAACUGACUCACCGGGUACCUGGUAGGGAUCUUGGAUAGAGAAUGUAGUCUUAGGUUCUUUUACACAGGUGACACUGUGAGGUUGAGUCCAGGGCCUUCAAGUUUGGAAGGGAACCCACUGUCAGGUUGGAGAUUAGGGGUAAGCAGUGGGCAAGGCACACCAAGACUCAGUCGGUACAGGAGGGUAACUGUGCAUAGUGGCAUUGAGACAGGGUAACUGAGCCCAGCUAUGAUGGCUGCAGCUAACAUACAUGAGGACUGGAGGAGCAGAGUUCACAACUAAGCCAACACAGGUGGCCUGGCACCACCCAGGACUUCCCUAAACCAUGAAAAGUGCCAGAGGCCAGGCAAGCCAGGGCCACCUCCUUUUCAAGAACAGAGUCUGUCAUAUCACAGAAAGCCACUGUGAGAGGAACAUGGGCCUGACAGAAGAGUAACCCCAAGGUCAAAUCGACAUAAAAUUCACUAAAGCAAAGAUUCUUAAAGGACAGGAGACACAGGUGGAUGUUCUAAGAGCUACAAAGAGUUUACAAGCAUACUCCCUGUGGGGGAGAAGGUAUGAACCUUGCUGACCUUCAUACCUUCAUGUGAAAAAUUCCAGCAAAGCAUUUUCUCUGAAAACUUCUUUUGUGCAGAUAAACUGUGUGGCAAUGUCCCAAGGCUGCUGUUCAUUGGGCCUGUGCCCAUUCACAUGGUCAUGGUCACUACCACCUGGGAGCUUACAACUUGUCUCCAAAGUCAGGACUUUGUCACCAUUCACUUCCUGGAUACAAAGCAGGAACUCAUCAGGACUACUGAGCUUUGCUGUUCAUAUGGCACAGGCAGAUGAUAAGUUGGAACUCUGAAGACUAAAAAAAAAAAAAAGCCAUAGAGUGGCCCAGAAGCACAGGCCCUCACUGAGGGCAGGGUUUGAGACACUGGGCAUUGGUACGUGAAAAUGUUGAUGGGUUGGUGGCAGACUUCAUGUCAGCAGCCCACCCUUCAGCUAGUUGCUCCUCUGAGACAAAUGGUUCAGAGCCCAUAGGGGCCUCCUGAGGGCCCCCACCAACACCUACCUCCCUGGGACAAGGUGACCCUGCAAGGUACAAACAGCCCCUAUCUGUGGAGCCAGAAGGGCACGGUCCCUGCACACCUAAGGGCUCUCUGUUCCCAGGACUUGCCUGUUCACUACCUAAUAGGUAGUUCUAUCUUUGGACUUGGUUUCCUGGUGUAAGAUGACAAUCUCAUCUUUUGUGGAUGUUGUGAAGAUGAAAACUGGAUCCCCAAAGAGCAAGUGCAUUACUUUAUUUUUGAACCCAAAGAAAAUGAAAGGCCAGAGGGCUUAUUUAUUGUCUUUAUUCCCAAGGAUUUUGCAUGGGCCUAAAAGAAGUAGGGAGCUCUCCACACAGAUACAGCACUGACAUAUCCCUGUUCCAGGUUCCAGUGAAGUUUUGUACCUCCAGCACAUGGCCCUUCCCAAGGACGGACUCUAAGACUCUUGGGAAAUAGCAAGAGAUGCUCAAACAUAAAGGGCUAGAGUAGAGGAAUGAUGGACACUAGCAUGCUGAGGAAGAGUGUGACAUUGAAAGGAGAUACAUGCAGGGACUCAAGACCUCUUGGGGUGGGUGUGGUGGUGCAUGCCUGUAAUCUUAUGGGGAGGCAGGCAGAGGGAUCAUCAAAGAAAGAAAAAGAAGAGAAAGAGAAAUGGGGAAGGGAGAGAGACCUCUUAAAAGUAAACAACACAAGAGCAGUAAUUUUAAAAAUCAGCAGAAGACCUGAAAGAUGAAAUUAAGAAAUUCUAUCAGAAAAAUAGAAGAAAGAGAAUACAUAUGUUGAAGAGCCAUGCUUCUAGACUAAAUGGCAGAAAAUACAUGACUCCAUAAAGCAAGUAGACCUGCCCCCAAGAUACUAUUAUAAACAGAACGGAUACUACAUCAUGGAGAGGAAUCCCUGUACAAACAAUGCUGAGGAAGGCUUCCAAGGUCAGAAAUCAACCAUGAAAGAAGCCAAGCAGUAUCUCCAACUCCACACAGAAAAGCGCUUACAGACUGCACCUCUUUGUCCCCAGAGUGGCCAGGCUAUAACAUCUCAAUAACCACCAGGUUGCUUCCUAGCCCUGGACCUGUGGCCCUGACUAGAAGGCUCAGGGAACGCUGCAGAAGAACAUACAUUAAAAAGAGGGACCUCAGUACAAAAGCAUAAGAUGCAAAGAUGGCCCAGGUCAACCGGGACAGUGCCAGGGGACCAGGCAAGGCUGGGCAAGGAGGCUCUGAAUCUCUAAAGAAGAAAAUGAGAGCCUCAGAACUCAAGCAGAGCACAGCAGCAUAUGGCUUGAGCAAAAAUUCCCUGACUAGCACAUAGAAAAUGAUGCCAACAGUGCUGGUCAGAUGGAUCAGCAGGUAAAGGCACUUGCGACUAAGCCAAGUGACCUGACUUUGAUACUUGGGACCCACAUGGUAGAAGGAGAGAACUAGUUCCUGAAAGUUGUCCUCUGGCCAUCACACACAUGCUAUGGCAUGAGCACAUGCACUUGCACACGUGUGUAUGCACACACAAAUAUAAUUACAUCAAUAACAAAAAGAGGCCCAAUAACUUCAGGUAAAACAGAAAACUGCAUGGACAAUGGAGAAGCAAUUACUGUGGAGAAUUUUGCAGUUAGAGUAACUACACCCCUAGAAUGUAAUGGAAGACAGAAGACCCAAGAUCAUAGUGUGGGUUGGGCAGCCAGAGAGCAUUCCAAAAUCAACCUGGACAGGAGGAUAGUUGAACAUGACACUCUGUCCUAAGCUUACUUAGUCAUCUUGGGAAGUAGGGACAAAGAAGCAGUGCAGAGGCUGCCUCUUUCCAAACAAAUUCUAGAAUUGAUUGAGUCUCUGUGCUGAUAGCCAAAAGAUGAUACAGCGGCUGUACUAGCAGCACUCUGCUAGCUGAUGAGAGUUUGCAGGAUGUAGUGUUUACUCAGAGAUUCUGGGCCCUCUCCUACCCUGAGGGUACAUGCAGUACAAUGAAGACCGAAGCAGGAAGCCAUGGGAUAAAGGAUCAGCAGCUUGAUGGGAAACAGAAAAACACAAGGCAAGAGAAACAAAUGUGUAGAGAAGAGUACAGAAAGGCCCAAUGGUGGUAGGGUAUAUCAAGAGGUUUCAUCGUAGAGCAUGCCACUUCCUCUGGUAACUACAGUACUCCAGGAUUCCCUAUGGCUCCCACUGUCCUGUAUCUGUGUUGUGUAUCUGUGACCCCAUCACCUGUUAACCCAGAUCUUCUGUAUUUUUUGGCCAGAUUCUCUUCCCCCAUCUCUGUAAGCACCAUCUUCUUAUCUCAUGGGCUCACAUUAAAAUUCCUUCCCAGGAGGGAAGAUCAUUCAUUUACUUAUUCAUAUGUGAUAUUUUGGCAAAAUACACUUAAUUACCUAACACACAGCAAAGCCACAGGCUACACCCAAGUCCCUAUAGGCCUUGUUUGCUGAUAUCAAGAGUGUCACAGAUGAUAUGUUUGCCUAUGUAGAAAGUCCAAAAAAAAUCAACAAAGGAUUUCUGGAACUAAUGAGUGACUUCAGCAAGGUAACAAAACGCAACACUCAUACAAAAAAUCCACUACUUUUCUACACAACAGCAAAAGAACUAUUUGAAAUUUAAAACACUCUGCUAUAUACCUUAGCACAAACUGAAACAUAAAUCACUCUCCUCUGAAAUGAGAAGAUACACAUUUAAAAAGCCAUAAACUUUGAUGGAAUAAAUCAGAUAACAAUAAAUUAGGGUGUUCCAUGUUUGUGGAUUAGAAGUCUGAAUUCUGUCAAAAUGCUGGUUCUUCACCACUUCAUUGCAGCAGGUUACUUUGUGUAGUCAGACAUCCUGGUCUGCAGUUCAUCUGGAGAGGCAGAAGCCUGGAAACAAAUGCUCAGUGCUGAAGGAAGACAAGUAAAACUGACGCCACAGUGGCCAGACCUGAUGCAGUUGGGCUUUUGGAACUGCCCAGUGCUGGGAGAGCAGACAGAUCACUACCUAAGAUGACAGCAGAGAGACACCUGCAAAUACCACUUAGGGAGAUUCAACAGAAACAGAUGGUUUUCCAACAAAUAGGACUGAAAUAAUUGGACAUGUAGAUGUGAAAAUAUGAAUCUAAACACAGAUCCUACAGCCUGCCUUUUAAAAAAAACAACAAAACUAACUUAAAAUGGACUAAACACAUGAAAGUAAAACACAAAAGCCCCAAUUAAAUUAAUUAAAAACUUGGGAGAAAAUCUGUGGCUAUUCACCUGGCAAAAAUUAAUAUCUAGAAUAUAUAAGAUAUAAAACAGCAAAAGAACUUCUUAAAAGAAGUACAAGUGGCCAAUAAAUAUUAACACAUUAAAAAAUGUUCAACAUCCUUAACUAUGCCAUAAACACAAUUAAAACUACACUGAGGUUCCAUCUUUCUCUUUUCAGAAUGGUAGUCAAGAAAACAAGCAACAGACACUUCAGAGGACGUUGUGGAAAGAGACCCUAACUGCUAGUGGGGAUGUAAAUUUGUCAGUCAUGAAAAUGUGGUACAAAAACAAAUGAAGUUUCAUUCAACCAUUAAAAAAAUUAAAUCAUUUGGAGGAAAAUAGAUGGAGAUCCUCAUAUUAAAUAAAAUAAUCAAGACACAGAAGGACAAAUAGGACAUGUCUUCUCUAACAUGUGGUGUGAUAGUUAAUCUUGAUUGUCAACUUAAUGGAAUUUAGAAUCUCCUAGGAGGCGUAUCUCUGGGUGUGUCUAUGAGGGUCUUUCUAGAGAGGUUUAACCAAGGUGGAAAGACCCACCCCAAAUGUGGGCAGCACUAUUCCAAGGGCUGGAGAAAGUAGGCUGAGCAUCAGCAUCCAUCUCUCUCUGCUUCCUGGCUAUGGGUGCUCUACCUACUAACUGAGGACCACCUGGCAAUUGAUGGCUGCUUGUUGGGGCUGGAGUCAUGUUUCUUCAAAGGUAUGGGCACUGGUAGAUUGGCCGGGUUCUGGUGGAUGGAUCUAUAUCCAUGUGAUUGCAGGCAGCACUAUCUGGACUGGGUGAGUUUUAAAAAAAUUAAAUAAGGAAAGGAAAUAAAGGUGGGAAGGGAGGUGUGUGUGUGUGUGUGUGUGUGUGUGUGUGUGUGUGUGUGUGUGUGAGAGAGAGAGAGAGAGAGAGAGAGAGAGAGAGAGAGAGAGAGAGAGAGAGAGAGAGAGAGACUGUGUGUGUGUACUAGGACAUGCAUGUAGAGGUCUGAAGAUAACUUCCAAGAGUCAGUUCUUGCCCUUCUACCACUUCUACCAUCUGGGUUCCAGGAAUGGAACUCAGGUGAUCAGUCUUUUUAAAACCCGGGCUAGUGAGCAGGUAAAGGUACUUGCUGUCAAGCAUAAUGGCUUGAGUUCAAUCUCCAGGACCCACAUAGGGGAAGGAAAGGACUGACUCCUACAAGUUGUUCUCUGACCUCCACAAACAUUCCUUAGCAUACAUACAUAUGGUGUCCAGCUUGGGAAUGGCGUUUCUAUCCACUGUGUGUCUAUCUUGGCAUUUUUGUUUAUUGACUGCCAUUAUGUUCUGUAACCCUCUCAGAUACCAGGUACCUUGUAAGUAUCUCAUCUGCUGAGCCCAUUUCUUACCACUUCUCCAUAGAGAGAUGCAGAUGCUGGCGCAUGUCCUGUGACGAGCCUAAAGCAUUGGGGAGAGAAGAGCUUGUCCCUGUACAGACAGUUUAACCAGACUGCCGUGAGUGCUUUUCAGGUGCUGUGACAUAUACAGGUAGGAACCAGCAGUGUCCAAGUUCAGGUGUAGGAGGCACUUCAUUGACAUCUGUGUUUCCAGGAGCCUGAAUGCACAGUGUUUCCUUGGAGAAUAUACCAUCUAUCUUCAUUUGUCCCUCCCUGAAGUCCUGGAACUUUACUCCAAGUCUCAUUCCUCUCAGGAUUUCUAAUUCUAGAGGUUGGAGUCACCUCCAUGGACUGACUGGAUGGGGAACCACUGGUCUCUUAGAUGAGGUGAUGAAAUGGGGCCCAGAGAUGGCACUACCUGGACAAAGUAUGCUUAUACAUUCCUUCAACAGUCUAGGUGUGGGGGCAAGAAUGUGAGCAGUAUGAAUAUGCACACGCAAAAUCACCCACACUUAUAUACACACAGGUGGCUGUGUGUGCACUCACAUGCUCAGCAUAAUCAGUAAUGGGUCUGUGCUGUUUGCACACACAGGCAUACUUCCUAAGAGGCCUAUGGACUCCUGGAUCCACAUCUCACUGGCUAGCUUAUAUCCUCCAUCCCCAGUUCUCCCAGUCUUUCUUGUGUGACUAAGAUAAGCCACAUUGCUUCCACCUGGCAGUUGGGGCUCCCCAAGUUCCAGGGUCCUCACUUGUGUUCACUUCCCUGCCUCACUGUCUCUUGGGCAGCUACCCCAAAGUUGGAGCUCAGGAGGCCCAGAGAGGGCUAGGAGAAAGGCCUAAGAUACUAACUUCUAUGGGUUCAGGUUGAAGGACAAAUCAGCCCUAGAACAGCAGGAGAGCUGCUAUGGGUCCCCUGAACAAGCCUGGGCCAAAUCUAAGAACAAAGCCUUCAGCAACUAGUGAUUUUCCACUCCUCCUUUUCUUCAAAAAGUCCCUAAAAACAGGCUUUUUAAUGUUCCCAUUUUGCCUUGAAAGAAACUCUUUCCCAGAAGAGAAUACAAAACUAACUGGACUUUGGCACAUCAACUCAGCAGGUGGUAAAUCCUGCAGGUUUCCCAACUUGCCCAGGAGGGGAGAGAGGACCAGGCCACUCCACCUCAUUGGAGACUUCCCUCUUUAGGGAGAGCCUGAAAAUCUGACCUGGAAAUGAUGCUGGUUUUGCCCUCAUCUAGAGAAAGCUCCCAGAGCUGCAUUGCUGGCUCCACACAAGCCUUCAGGAUAUAUGGCUAGGGAAGUGAGCCUGGCAGGUGCUCCUAAACGCCUCCUUCUCAAGGGCUGAGUGUUCUUCAGGGGGCCCCAGGCAAAGUCCACACCCUUUACCCAACAAUGAGCCGCCUCCAUCUGUCCCUGACCACACCUCCUCCAAUCAACAAUGCAACCCCAAUGAUCCUGGUCCUGAUAUUCUCAGAGUUUACCCCAUCUGCCCCUACUUCUUGGGUCUCUAGGGCUUGAGCUCGUGUCUAAUCCCUUUACUCUGAAGCUCUUCUUACAGUGUUCAAGAUGAGCUACUCCCUCUGAAUUUCUAGCAGCUCUCUAGCCCCUCAGUCUGAACUCUGUCCCCUGUAGCCAGCAGUCUGAGGGCUCUUCUUCAGAUAGGAGAUCCUUCUUAGAGAAAUGACACUCAGUGACAGACGUGGACAAGAGGAAUAACCAUCUAGAAGCAAAAGCCAAUGUACACACGCCUGACAGACCUCACCUGUCCAGAUGCUAGAUUGACACUCAGAUGUGACACCCAUACUACUCUAAGCUUAUGGCCCCUUGACUGCCAUGCCUGAAAACAUGUCAUCAAGGAUGCCAUGCACAGGAAAUUGGGUGGAAGUUUGGGGAAGAAUUUCACUAAGGACUUAGGAAUCUCUUCCUUGAACUCAGAACCAAAGGGGUGCUGGGAACUUAAGGUAGGAAGCCAGGUUCAUCAGCAUGUCAUUUACUCAUCUAUGCAUAAACAUAUCCAUGUACUCAACCAGUUGUUUAUGCUCAAUCUCGCAUGCAUUCACUCCCAGACCUACAGAAGCCUUGCUAGGUACAGACAGAUUAGCCACCAGAGACUCAAUAAGAAGAAAAUUGCACACUUGCUUGAGUCAAAAGAGCUUGGAGUUAGGGAAUACCUUCUUGAGAAAUACCUUCCUCAAGAGCUGGAGUAGCCUAGAGAUUUCUAAGCUGGGAAGAGGUGGGGUAGUAGGAAGCCGGGCAUGGAAGGAUAAGGCUAGGAAUGAGGGAGGUAGUCUGGACUCCAGCUGGAGCUGAAGAAAGACUUAACUGAAAUUCAGCUGGCACCUAGCUCAGAGCCAUGAGACACUCACUGGCAGCCUUCCCCCUUAUUCCCUCCUAUCCCUCAAUGAUGGCAUUCCACUUCCAGGCUAGGAAGAGCUGUGUAAUGUUCUCAACUCACCAGUACUUGCCCAUCCAUAUCCCUGGCUAGAGGCCUGAGAAGAGUAAAGCCUAGAGAAGAGCAGAAGGAGAAGGAGAUGAGAGGAGAGGGAAAGAGGUUAGGGGGCAUGAGGGACAGCAGGGUAAGGUGCAGCUCAGGCAGGCAGCUGGGCCUUCUUAGCUCCUCAUGGUAGGGAGGUAACCAGGAGAAUGGAUAGGAACUCCCAGCUGCCCACUCUGAUCAGAGAAGCCACACCUACCCCAACUUUGAGAGGAGAUGAGGGGUGUUGUUCAGCCUCAGCACUGAGAUGUGGCACCCUAAAACAUGGUGCCCUGAACCCUACAAGCCAUGGCACAAUAAUCCCAGGGACCUCUAUAUCCUACAACACAGAAGAUAAAAAGCCUUUCUCUAAUGGAAGCUCCAAAGCUGGGUGGAGACAGGACAGCUGAGCUGAUCCUAACCUUGGCAGACUCAUCCCAAACACAUUGAGGACCCCAUGGAAGACUCAGGACAUGCAUAUCCAUGGGAACCCUAACUAUAAAGUACCCCAAGCUAAGACCCUUGUUCCCAAAGAAACCUAAAGGAAAGUCCCAACAGAUGACAGACUAUAGGGAUAGAGAAGAAUCCCACAGCCAUGACGUGACAUGAAGCCACCUGAAUGGUUAGGUUAUCUGGGCCCAGAGGUGCAUUGUAGCAGCCUGGCUUGUUAGAGUGAGCAGUUUGUUGAGGGCUAGAAGGGUACUUGUUCCCCAUAGUGAGGUUUUCCAGGACAAGGGUCCUAGAAGGCCUAAUGGUUCUCUCUAGGUGGCAGCAGGAGGAGCAGUGUGGCAUAGUCACCCAUACACAUAGGCAGGACUAGUCAGGGCACACCCCUGCAGUGCUACAGCACGUCCUAACCUUUUCUCUCUUUCCUUAGGAACCUUCAGCUUCAAAUGCUGCAUGGUAUGACAGCUCAAGCAACUAUCCAGGGACAGUUCCCAAAAUAAGACUUUAUACCGUCAGUGACUCCCAGCAGAUUCUAGAGAAUCCCCUCAGCCACAUGAGUUCUGCUCUAUGGCCUGCCCCUAGGCUGUCUCCCCCUACUGCCUAUGCCUCACUGACAUAGCCCUCACACCAUUCUGUUCUGGUCUGAGAGGCUCCCGAUUCCUUACUGAUGGGACUCAGCUGGGUUGGUCGCUAUUACUGGAUCCCCUUCACCGAGCACCUCUGGAGGACCUAGGGGAUGUCAUUUUUGUAGCCAUACAAUGACCUCCUCCCAUACUUUCCCCAGUUUUAGAGGCGGCACUGCUCCCAGCACAGCAGCAAGGACCCGAGAGCUGUGUGAUGAAAACCCUGCUGUAGCCUCUCCUCUCCAUGAGUCUGGGCAAACUCCUCACCUCCCUGAAGCCCAGAAGAAGCUCUGAUUGCUCUCCCCACAGCCUCUCUGGUCUUACAUUCUGUCUUGCAACCAAAGCAGUGGUCUGAGAGGCCAGUCAUGACUGAGGCCCACCCACUACACAGCUCAGCAGGGACCAAAGUCCUCUGAAGCCUGCAGGACAGCUUCCUCCUAUAUGCUCCUGAAGCUGCCUAGGCCCGCCCUCGGUAGAGUCUGACACCGAGUGCUGCCUGUGUCCUGACAUGGACCCUUGUAGCAUAGCACCUACCCAGCCUUGAGUCCCAACAUUGUGGCCAUAGGUUAGGGACUCCCAAAUGGGAGUGUGUGGACAGAGAAGGGAGCACCUCACCCACUGAGGAUGAACUCUGGCCUUCCACCACAGACAAUCAGACCUUCCCAGUCUACCACCCCUGUGCUGUAGACAGGUACCCUGGCCUUGACAUCCCUGCCCUUGGCCUUCCUCAGUCCCCUACUGCAGUAAUCACACUACCUGUGUUCUAGGGUCCAUGUCUUACUCCCCAGCUGGGUCAACACCAGCUGGAAGAAUUAUGACCUCCUAACCACAAGGUUGGGCUGGGAGUUACAGACAAUCAGAAGAAAACAUGAAUCCCAUCAGUAUAAGGCCUUCCCAUUGUCUCCUGGAAGGUAGUUCCUGUACAACUUGAGGAUGAAGUAGUGUGGACAGUCCUGAACACUUUUAAAGUACAUAGUAUUUAACCAGUGAGAGCCAUGUCCUUGUCUGGGAGCUGUGGAGGAGUUAGCUAUACUACCCAAAUUCACACAUGUAUCAGCUAUGGGCCUAUGUUCAGGACAGAGCUGUGUGUGAGGGGUCUAUGAUGGGGCAUCUGAGGCUGGUUAUACAGAGAGGGAAUCUGGGAGGUUUCUGAAGAACAAGUCAAAGUCAGCAGGGAUCUGAAUGAAUCCAGAGUUCACAGCUGAGGGAAGAGUUAUAAGGCAAGAGCUAGGUGUGGAAGUCCCUGUUACCAAGAAGUUGGUUCUUAAAGCCAGGCAGGGUAGAGCUGAACCUGCAGAUUGUUUCUCUCAGCUUCUCUCUCUUCUUGCUUCUGUAGUGGACCUCCAGGGUGGACAAUGGGUGCCUGGUGGGGUCUGAUUAGAGUAAAUCUUCCCUAAGAGCUAGUACUGGUGACGAUGUGAUGCAGUUGCCUAUGGUUGGGAUUGAAAGAGAUGGAACUUGGGGACAGAGGCUUUGGUCCUUAGAGGAGAGGGUCUUGUGGACUGGUGGAGUCUGAAAGGUGAGGAGAUGUCUGCUCCCUGGAAUGCAGCUAUAUUUGAGGAACCUCCUUGGAAAAAUCCCCAGUGCCAGGGUCUUGACUGAAUAUGCCGGUGACUUGCAGUACAGUGCAGGGAGUUGGCCAGCAAGGGCCAACGCCUGCAGGUUUAAGCAGGGAAGGAUGUUGGAGGACAAAGCAGGGUCUGGUGGGGGUGCUUGGAAGGAUCAGCAAGAGCCACCAGGAGGCCUUGGGGACCUGGGAAGGAUUGUCUCCAUAAGUUCUAGAAUUCAGGUGUGAGGUAAAAUUGAAUGACAGGGAACACCUGGGCCCACUAGACUACUUAAGAUAGAGAUGUCCUUCUGCAGAGCUGCCUGUCCACUGGUGAUCCUCUUGACUAACACUAGUGGCCAGUCCUUCUGGGGGCAAGUUCAAGUCCCCUAGAGACCCUCAGAGCUAUAGCCCUUAGGGAUCAGGCUACCCCUUAGUUAGUCAGUGUGCUGACCCAAUAUGAAGCAUGGCAGAUAAACCUGGCUGCUGCUGACUUGAGACACUAAGCUCCAAAUCUGUACUCCAGAGGUACAGAGAGUGGUUCCUAGAUAACACAGAAGGCACACACCCACUCAACAUUGGGAUGCUGCAGCCCAUGGAGAAGCAAGUGAGCUGGAUGUAAGGGCCUUCUUGGAAUCUCCUGGACCUUCCUAAACACUCUGUAUGAAGAAGUCAGUACUGUCUAGUCACAGCAACAGACAGCACCGACCUUACUGAAAAAACCCAAUCAGACAGCAUAUGCAAGGAGAAGCAAGUGCCAGAUCCACAGGCUAAACA